UUUCCCAGUAAGAGGGUGCAGGUAACUAUGUUCUUCCGAAAUCGAAGAAGGAGAUCAGUACCGUCAACGAUUAAACCUCUGAAGACUGAAAAGGCGCACUUAGUGCAAAUCAUUUCAGCAAAACCGGCUGAAGCCGCUCUUGGGCCAAGAAACUGCAUGUUAUCAGUGUGGACGAAUGUGCGUACAAUCGAAACCACGGUUGGUUGUACCAUGUGCGACCAGUUCAACAAGAAAGUGCCUAACAACGCAGCAAUUAACCAGUUAGUAAGAGAAAUUCACCAACAAAGAAGAAAGCGAAUUGGAGAUUCAUCAACAUAUCCUUUCUUUACAAGGGUGUUGUUGGAGUUCACGUUAAUGUGUGGGAAGGAAGCCAUCUCUCGAAUCAACUCUGCUGAAGAUGGAUGGUGAAGUACCCACUGAUUACUCUGAAGAAACUCGGAGCUACAAGGCACUUCUAUUCAUUGAUAAACAAAUCAGUCAGGCCUGCAGGAGUAGGCUCUAAAGCUGCAGCUGCUUUUACUUUGUAUCAAGUCGGCACUGAUAUUGAGGAAGUGACAGCUGAAAAGACCUUUGUAGAGCCAAGGCUUGCAAUUUUUGCUGACAAGAACAUGAAUGGCAUGCAAGCGUUCAUCCUUGGUGAAGGAAAGAUUCUGUUUGAAGUAUUGGGCGACAGUGUUAUUGACUCAAUCAGCUUGUUCGCAACAUACUACGCCUUCUACGUCAGUUACCCCAAGCCAUCACCUGCCUCUGGUCUCCUUCUCUUCAUACAGGAAGUGUUGAUGGGUGUGAAAGAGACAUCUGUAAAAAAUUGCUCGGACAUUGAAGCAUGCAGGACUGCACCUGAAGUGCAUGGAUUCGGCUAAAUUUCUAACAAGGAUUGUUGGUGGUGUCAUGUACAAGAGAAAUCCAGAUGUUGAUGAUCAACUAUAGAAGUGUUCCUACUCAGUUACUGAACUGCUACCCCUUCCUGUUGUCACCACUGGAAGGCAUGGGCCAUAUCGUGAAAACUCUGAGGAAUAGAAUGAGGGAAAAGAGGCAGAAAAAACAGAAGGAAUAACGCCGAUAAAGAUAGAGCACAUCAGUGCAUUUGAAAAACCAAAGAAAAGACGAAAAAUCAAAUUCAAUGUUCAUGAAGGGGAAGACGAAGGCUCUUAUAUCCGCCAUUGCAAAGGCAGAAAGAGAUAUCUGAGCAUCCGAUGCACAUUUCUGCGAUCUUGGAAAAGUUCCCCUUUCUUGGGAACAAGGAAAUUCUGAUCUGGAGGCACCUAAGAAAAGAAAGCAGCCCCACAGAUGCUGAUCUUUGGAAGAAUUUGUUCAAUAAAAUCUUGGAAUGUACCAAGACAUCGAGUACCAGUAGCAUCCACGAAAUUGUUGGGGAAAUUGGACAGUUGGCAAGUAUUAAUGUAUAAUAAUAGGCGCAUUUCAAAAUAGGUGCUCUUAAGCAUUGCUUGAAAAAUAGUACAGUGUCAUUACUUAUGUUUCGCGGACUGACCCAAGACCUUGGAAUAUACCAGCUUUUUGCGAAAAUAUCACAUUACGUGCUUAACGAAGAUUACAAGAUAAUUCUGUUUCAUUAUAGACUGCAUGAUCAUGCAUGACUCACAUAGACAAAAUUACUUCAGAUUCAGAUAAAAAUAGGCAAACGAGAGCAAAAUCUGCUAAGGCCUUAUAAUGAUCAUAGCAGGUGAUCACAAUUUCAUGCAGUAAUGUCCUUUUGAUCAAGUUUUAUUCUAUUCCAGAUGAUAUGGAUUCUCUGAGCAUCAAGUUCAUAGCACUCAUGGCUCUUCUUGUCACCCUUGGGACCAUGCAGCUUGGCCGGAAUAGCGAGGUGGCUGUAGCUCAGGAAAUAGCCGCGGCUUAAAAACGACCUUACCUCGAAUCUAAUGACUACUUUUGCGGUUCUUGUCUCGAGGACAAUGUAGGAUAAUUCUGUUCUCUAUUUAGGUGUAAUCCAAAACACACACCCAAAACGUCAUAUCCGGCCGUAAUAUACGUAUAAAAUUACAUUGAAAACCUUGUUUGGGACAGCCAGCACUGGCCGGUAAACGGAAUAGCGAGUGGCCGUACUUCAGGGUGAGUUUUGUGCAGUAAACAUAUAUAGCUAGCAUUCCGUGCCAAGCCAAAUGGCCGGUAUAUCGAGGUGGCCGUACUUCAGAGAGCCGGAAUAGCGAGAGUCUACUGUAACAAACAUCUACUGACUAAUACAAACACUCUAAUAGAUUGCUGUUGCCAGCUACGAUAAAGUGACUGCUUUCACUAGCUAUGCUGAUACCAAUACUGAUGCUGGCACACAUGAUUAGAUGAGGUAUCUCUUGUAAUAAUAAUUAUGAUGGCAUAGAAAAAAUAACUUCCUUUUUAGGAACAUGCAUGCAGAGUGUGAAUACAUGCAGAUGCCAGCGCUGGGCCCGUGACAGAAAUGUGUGCUGUGGAUACUGAAUCCUUGCCUCCUACGAAGAAAUAUUGCUCUGAGGCUUCGUGAAAACGUUUAACAUUAUAACAACUCGAGUUGAGCUUCCAACACACUUUUCAAGACGAGUGUAAACAGCAAUCGACAACUAUUUACUCAUGGAGCCUAACCAUCAAGCAGCAUUCAUCCGGGAAAUCGUUCAAGCAUACGUUUCACAGCCCACCAUGUACUCAAGAUUAUGCAGUGAUUUCGAAAAAUUGUUGACAAGCAUCCUCUACGAGAUGCAAAACAGUCAAAACCCAUGGGCCACAAUCAGCAGGCAAAUUUCCCAGCGUUAUCGAAAUACUCGUCUAUCAAACUUAUAUUUAUUGCAUGAUCCUCGUGGUAGCUAAGUGUGAAAUUAAUCAUGUCUGUUAGAAGAUCCUAUGGAUUUUGAAAGUGAAUCUCCUGUAAGCUCUCAGUUUCAAUAUGUUGUGGGAGGGUGGUGUGCAUUGCAGAAUUUACCUCAGCAAGAAGUAGAUGUAGAGCUGACCAGAAACAGUUUCUGUUUGAUACCUCCUUGAUAUUUCUUCCGUCAUCAAGCAGACAAGUAUCGAGCUCAAAAUUUCAAAGAAGAGGUGCAAAACAGUAACGGAGAUGGUAUUCACAAACCACUCGAAAAUCCCAUGUGAGAGCUGAGGCCGCAGAAACAUCUGAAGGCAAGACUUGAUAAAAUAAGAACAAUACUUUUGGCAAGUCUGCGUGUAUAGUAACGUUCUUUUCGUCAGCAUAAUUAUUAUAGAUAUAUAGCUUAUUAUAUUGUUUUACAUGCACAUUGUAUUGUAAAAUUGGAAGAGUUACGACUUGUGGCUCAAGAAAUGGCCAAAAAGUGGCAAAGGCAAAUGCAAGUUGAUUGUGUAAUCUAUACUGUUUAUCAGUUUAAACCUAUGCAUUGCAAGGUAGCUGCUUCUCAAAAUAGAAUAAAAACGGAAGGAUAUGACAAAAGAAGAAGUGCAUGACCACUCAAUUAAGGGUCUGGCAUAAAACAAAAAAAGAGCUUCCCAACACAAAACGAAAUGACUACUAUAACCGCGGUGGUGCACCUCAGGUUAAUUAUGUAGUUUGGUUGUACCAAGAGUUUAAAGUAGUAUGGGCAUCAUUAUUAUGGAAACCAUUAUACAAGAUAGUUUGUCUCAUGCAUGGUAAGUUUUUUGUCUGAUAUUUUCUGAACUAUAAACUUGUGAUACCUCCAUAGAGCAUAGUUCUCUCCUUGCCAACACAGCUUUUUUUGUCGUAUGGAGUCUAUGAUCUAGUGUAUGUAUCGCAAUGAGCUCUCAAGCUGAUCCAUCCUCAACCUUUAGAGGCGACCAAAAGUAGAUGAAUGCAUCCAAAUCAAUUGUGAAAUUAUGCGCACUCUUGUAUGUUUGUUCUUCAGUCGAUAUGGCAAGCCAGACAGCCUGAGGCAGGUCACAUGCACUGUGAAGUAAAUUAAUGGCUCGACAACUAAUUGUAAAGUAUCCUUUCAUUAAAGAUUUCGAGCUAGGUAUGGAUAUUUCACUAACACCAGUUCUAUCAUUUCAACCGUUCUGGAUGAAUUUAGGAUACACAAUUUAUUUACAUUUGAGAUAUUAUACUGAUGAUUCCUCUUACUUGUUAAGCAUCAUGACUGAAGCAACUCCUCGCAUAGAGAAAGAUUUUCCGGUUGAUAUAGUCCAAAGAGGAUAUUUUGGGAGCAGCAGCUUCAGUACAACUCUUUAGCCAACAAAAGAGGCACCCCCUGCAUGGUAAUCCGGGUUCGUUUAAAUAUCUCUCUUCAACAGCAUAUCAAGCUGUUCGUGAAUCUGGAAUAUCAAAUUGCCUUCGGAGCGCACUGUCACAGAUUACACCCACUGGACCACCCCAUGCAUACUCACUUUUAAAAUCAUAAUAAUAUAAUUAUUAUUACAAAAUGUAUUACGGGAAAUUUUCGUGAGGUGCAAAAUUUCGUGUUUUUCAAGGGCAGUAUAGUCUAUAGAGUUGAGCGGAGUCAACCAACGUGCAUCAGUAUCAUGCAGGGCUGCUGCUCUGUUCCCUGCUAAGUUUCAAGGAAAACACAAUUUUCUAUGUUGCACGAUAUCGCCAAGGUUGUAUACAAGGGACAAAAGUCAAUGCAAGUUUCAAGGAAAACACAAUUUUCUAUGUUGCACGAUAACGCCAAGGUUGUAUACAAGGGACAAAAGUCAAUGCUAUUUAAGGAGAUGGUUAGUGUCACACACACUCAACAAGGAGUUGCAGGUGAAUCAACUGUUGAGCCAAAAGCUAACGUGUUGGCACUAUUACUUAGGAUAGGUGGUACUCCUGGUAGCAUGUAUAUUGCCAGCAACAUGUCAACACUCCUCCAUGACCCUGACGACACGUUUAACAUGGACACUGCUGUUGUAAAUCUACCUCAAGCUGUGGUUGACAAAUGGUGAUGAAGGAACCUAAGGCCGAACAACAGGGGUGCCCUCUUCCACCCAGGAGCUGAGCUUAUAUACUCUAAGAAAACAUAUCAAGCUAUUGAUAAUGGCAAUAUCACUGGCAAAUCAAAGCUCCGUCUCCUCAUGCCGAGAGAGGCGAUGUAAUUAUAUAGCCUUAACGGCGAAAAUACAUCCACUCCCUAUGUGGUAAUCGCAUGUGCCGAGUAGCUCCAGCUGAAGGAAAAACCAUCCAUUCCGGGAGUAUUGGGUGAUUGAAAAUGAGGCAUACUACACAUUAUUAAUGGCAUGUAUGCAUGCAGGACUGGGUGAGAAAGUACAUGAGCCAGAUGUUUCGAAAUCUUCGCCAGGUUUCUGAAUCAUCCAAAAUUGGCCAUUCAAGCAAGAAACUCAGCUCAUACGAAUUUGCAAAGCUACCAAUUCCAGUAUAACAGCAGGAGACUGAAGACGUGGAAAGGACUAACGAAAAUAAUUAUGCCAACAUGCAUAAGUACACACAACAUUGUGAAUGGUCCACAAAUUAAAUUAUUAUGCAAUGAUGCAGCCCUCAGUUGCACACUUAUACUGCCUCUAUUAGUGAAGUGUGUGAGACAUGUUGUGGUAUAACUAUCAAAGACUGCUGUGAUGAUUUAUUCUGUAUAUAGAGCGCAGAAUACGGCAUUAAUAACGGAUUUGUUCUUUAUUUGAAGGAAACGAAAAACUUCAACAUCAAUAUAAUUUGGGGAUUAGCAAUGCCAUUAUAAUAAUCAUAGCGAGACUAUAGAAGCAUCCAUAUACUUUCAGAAAUGGCUCACGAGUACCAGUUUGAAUAACUGUGAUACAGAAUGGCAACUCCUUCUGAGGACACACCUCAGCGUCCAGCCCGGACCCCUGAUCCUGCAGUGCAAGGUAUUAAAGUACUUCCUGUCUCCUGAAUCCUUUCCUAGUGGAGACAGAUUCUGAUGACGAAAGUAGUAAUGAAGACUAUAUGUGCCUCCGGCUCCUGCUCAACAGCGUGGUACGUAGAGGCAGGGGCCGUGGUUGUUGCCGUGGUGCAGGUGCCGGCAGAAGUGUAUAAUUAUGUAAGUAUUUAAGUUUUAUAAUAGUGUUGUUUGAACGAAUCAUAGAUAACAUCUUUUUUGACACACCUUGUUUUUUGUCUCUAUAUAGCCCAAAACGAUAUCUAUAGCUUGUCCAGGUAUAAUUAAAAAUAAACGUUUUUUGAUGCCUUGGAACGCUUGUUUGAAGAAAUGAAAUGGGGUGCACUUCCAGCCUCUACUGGAAAAGGACGACCAACUGUCGACUAUUGACUCUCAGAACAUAAGUGAAUGUUAUUGUUAUAUUCUAAUUUCAUUACCGUAUAGCGGGUAAGUUUCGUGGGGUAAAAAUUCGUUCAACUUGAGAAACGGUAGUUUUCGUGAGUAAAAAUUUCGUUUAGUCUCGUGGCUGCACAGCAUUCCUACGUUGAGAUAAGCCACGCCUACGAUAAAAUUUCGUGGAGGUCAGCCUGCCCACGAAAAUAACGAAUAUUUUACCCCACGAAAGUUACCCGCUAUACGGUAGUACAACAAAAGCAGCUAUUUUAUUCACAUCAGUUGUUCAUAUAAUGUAUUCUAAUUUCAUUAGUACAACAAAAGCAGCUAUUUCUUUCACAUCAGUUGUUCAUACACAUUUACGAGUGCAAUUCAAUAUAAAUAUACCUCAAAACAUCAUGACAGCAAGAUAAUCAAACUGUAAAAAAAAAUGUUGGCUGCUAAGAACAAUUCACAAGAUCAUUUCUUCAUUCUGUCAUAAUGGAUAGCGAAGAAGACGCUGCACCAGCUCCUCUGCCACCAGCCGCAGGACUGCCUCAACGUCCACCACCACGUCUGUGGCAUUGGUCCAGGGCGAGGGCCAGACCCGCCAGGGCCAGAGGUUGAGGAGAAGGAGACCUAUAGGAGGCAGAGGGAGAGGACGAGGAGGAGAACGAGGAACUGGACGUGGAAGGGAUUUAUUGGGAGCACCAUGGGCCACCCACACUUCCCCAAAUGUGGCCACGUCCAUUUCCAGAAGAAGGAAUCGUAAAUGUCAGUUUGGUCUAGCUGUUGUGAAUAUCUGUUUCAUAUGCACAUUACUUCCCUUACAGAUUUAUCACGGCCAAGUGAACUUCUACAAUUAGAAUUAUCUACUCUUAAUGUGUUAAUAAUUAAGCCACAAAAUAAUAAUGCGAUUGAUUGAUUGAAUGUAGCUGCGAUUGGCCACAAAUUGAUUAUCCGCCCCCAUUAACGUAGAUGAUUAAUUUUCAAAGAAAUCCAAGUGCUGGUGGCUACAAAAGUGUUGCCACUACCCCUUCCUGUUGUCGCCACUGGAAAGAACUGUAAGUCAACAAUGUAGUUUUAGUCAGUAUAGCUACGGGCCAUAUCGUAAAACCGUGGCUAUGAUAGCCUCCAUGCAGUCAAUGUUUGCGGCCUUCCCCGCACGUGCUCCACACCUGGCGAUACCAAGAUUUUAUUGUUUGCUUCAGCCAACGUUUUCAAACCACUGUGUGACUCCAAAAAUUAUUGUGCUUCUGCUUUUAAAAGGUAUACAUAAAAUGGCGACCAACAUCACUUUCAC